rnacentral:lncRNA from 1 species
UUUGAUGCGGCCGACUCGGCCUAUCAUGAUGAAACGUAGCCGGUAGUGCUGAUCGAACUGUGGCAUCGCAUCGGAAGUGCUGCUUGGGUCAUCAAUACGAGUCUUUAGUGUACGACAAGUGUUGCGUGCAGUGUCAUGCCUGUGGCUGGCGUUCUGUUCGUGGAGCCCUCGCUGAGCCUCACGUGAUGCCGCCGAAGAACGACACAGCAACUUCCUGGCGGUAGAACGGACGCAGUCACGAGCCCUUCUGGUGGAGCAUUGCUGACAAAUUUUCAGUGACGGACUGAAAUCGACAAAAUACUCAGAAAAGACGAAAGUGGAGCUAUUUGCGAACUGACCAAAUGCUUUGUUGUAUUAGUGUUGUCACUUCAAACUCCAUGCCUCCAAGGUGCCAGCGUUCGCAAUCUAAACUGUUAUUCUGUGUUAUUUAUUACGUGUCAUCGUUCAUCGUUACAAUUUAAAGAUCAUUAAAACUCAUACUCGUUGAAGAUCA